CCACCCCCACCACUGAUGAAGCCAGGAGCACAGGAUCCCACGGACACAGUCCUCAGAGGGGAGUGGGGGGAGGAGAGGGGAAGGGUGGAGGGCAGAGAGAAGACAACCGUGCACACAACAUCUCUGCCCUUUGGGAGCUUACUUGGGUGGCUGAGAAGGCACAUAUUGAAAAAUCCACAGUGACACAACUCAGGCUGGAAGAGAGGAGUUAGUGAGGACUUCUGGAAGCUCCCAUCUUGGAGAAGGUUAAGGAAGACUUGCGAGACAGCAGCCAUAGUGACGAGCAAAUCAGAGUGUGCCCCUCUUCCCUGGCCACAGCCCCUCAGAGUCCUUCCUGGGGAUCUUCUGUUAUCACAAAGGCUGUCUCUUGCCUCUGAAUUCAGGAUUCUGAGAGGAUGUAAAGUUACAACUAUUGGCUGCUACUGCCUCCUUACCCCCACUCAGAAACUAAGAACUGAAUUUGCAGCCCACUGCUCGCAGCCUCUGAGGGCCAUCGGGGUGCACUUGGGUGCUGCAGCUACCCUUCCCGCAUCUUCUCAUCCCUUCGCUCCAGUGCCUUCAUUUAUUAACUUUUGUGGUAUUCGAUGCAUCGCCACAGCCUGUCAAAUAUUAAUAAAUAAACCGUGUCAGCACUCUCA